rnacentral:rRNA from 1 species
CGGACGGGUGAGUAAUACAUAGGAAUCUGCCCAGUAGCGGGGGACAACUUGGGGAAACUCAAGCUAAUACCGCAUACGCCCUACGGGGGAAAGCGGGGGACCUUCGGGCCUCGCACUAUUGGAUGAGCCUAUGUCAGAUUAGCUUGUUGGUGGGGUAAUGGCCUACCAAGGCGACGAUCUGUAGCUGGUCUGAGAGGACGAUCAGCCACACUGGGACUGAGACACGGCCCAG